rnacentral:rRNA from 1 species
AUUGAACGCUGGCGGCAGGCUUAACACAUGCAAGUCGAGCGGUAACAGGGGGAGCUUGCUCCCUGCUGACGAGCGGCGGACGGGUGAGUAAAGCAUAGGAAUCUGCCCGGUAGUGGGGGAUAGCCCGGGGAAACCCGGAUUAAUACCGCAUACGCCCUAAGGGGGAAAGCAGGGGAUCUUCGGACCUUGCGCUAUCGGAUGAGCCUAUGUCGGAUUAGCUAGUUGGUGGGGUAAAGGCCUACCAAGGCGACGAUCCGUAGCUGGUCUGAGAGGAUGAUCAGCCACAUCGGGACUGAGACACGGCCCGAACUCCUACGGGAGGCAGCAGUGGGGAAUAUUGGACAAUGGGAGCAACCCUGAUCCAGCCAUGCCGCGUGUGUGAAGAAGGCCUUCGGGUUGUAAAGCACUUUCAGUCGGGAGGAAGGCCUGGCGGUUAAUACCCGUUGGGAUUGACGUUACCGACAGAAGAAGCACCGGCUAACUCCGUGCCAGCAGCCGCGGUAA